AAACUCAAAAACUUAACUUUGACCACUAAACCAUGAAAAUGAGGUCAAGGUCACAUGACAUCUGCCCGCUAGACAUGUACACCUUACCAUCAUUCCAUACAACAAAUAUAGUAGACCUAUUGCAUAUAGUAUGAGAAAAACAGACCAAAACACAAAAAUUUAACUAUAACCACUGAACCAUGAAAAUGAGGUCAAGGUCAGAUGACACCUGCCAGUUGGACAUGUACACCUUACAGUCCUUCCAUACACCGAAUAUACUAGCCCUAUUGCUUAUAGUAUCUGAGAUAUGGACUUGCCCACCAAAACUUAACCUUGAUCACUGAUCCAUGAAAUGAGGUCGAGGUCAAGUGAAAACUGUCUGACAGACAUGAGGACCUUGCAAGGUACGCCCAUACCAAAUAUAG
rnacentral:lncRNA from 1 species